CGAAAGCCUGACGGACCAACGCCGCGUGAGGGAGGAAGGCUCUUGGGUUGUAAACCUCUUUUGUUAGGGAAGAAGCGAGUGACGGUACCUAACGAAUCAGCAUCGGCUAACUCCGUGCCAGCAGCCGCGGUAAUACGGAGGAUGCAAGCGUUAUCCGGAAUUAUUGGGCGUAAAGCGUCCGCAGGUGGUUUUUCAAGUCGGCGGUCAAAGACCGAAGCUUAACUUCGGAAAGGCAGUGGAAACUGAAAAACUAGAGAUCAGUAGGGGUAGCGGGAAUUCCCAGUGUAGCGGUGAAAUGCGUAGAGAUUGGGAAGAACAUCGGUGGCGAAAGCGCGCUACUGGGCUGAGACUGACACUGAGGGACGAAAGCUAGGGGAGCGAAAGGGAUUAGAUACCCCUGUAGUCCUAGCCGUAAACGAUGGAGACUAGGCGCAGCUUGUAUCGACCCAAGCUGUGCCGAAGCUAACGCGUUAAGUCUCCCGCCUGGGGAGUACGCACGCAAGUGUGAAACUCAAAGGAAUUGACGGGGGCCCGCACAAGCGGUGGAGUAUGUGGUUUAAUUCGAUGCAACGCGAAGAACCUUACCAGGGCUUGACAUCUGUAGAACCCCGAUGAAAGUUGGGGGUGCCUUAGGGAGCUACAAGACAGGUGGUGCAUGGCUGUCGUCAGCUCGUGUCGUGAGAUGUUGGGUUAAGUCCCGCAACGAGCGCAACCCUCGUCCUUAGUUGCCAGCAUUAAGUUGGGCACUCUAGGGAGACUGCCGGUGACAAACCGGAGGAAGGUGGGGAUGACGUCAAGUCAGCAUGCCCCUUACGCCCUGGGCGACACACGUAUUACAAUGGUCGGGACAAAGGGCAGCGAACCCGCGAGGGAGUGCGAAUCUCAACAAACCCGGCCUCAGUUCAGAUUGCUCUGUGCAACUCGAGAGCAUGAAGGAGGAAUCGCUAGUAAUCGCCGGUCAGCAUACGACGGUGAAUUCGUUCCCGGGCCUUGUACACACCGCUCGUCACACCAUGGAAGCUGGCCACGCCCGAAGUCGUUACCCUAACCGUAAAAGGAGGGGGAUGCCGAAGGCAGGGCUAGUGACUGGGGUGAAGUCGUAACAAGGUAGCCGUACCGGAAGGUGUGGCUGGAUCACCUCCUU
rnacentral:rRNA from 1 species